UACGAAGGGGGCUAGCGUUGCUCGGAAUCACUGGGCGUAAAGGGUGCGUAGGCGGGUCUUUUAAGUCAGGGGUGAAAUCCUGGAGCUCAACUCCAGAACUGCCUUUGAGACUGAGAGGCUUGAGUACGGGAGAGGUGAGUGGAAUUCCCAGUGUAGAGGUAGAAAUUCGUAGAUAUUGGGAAGAACACCGGUGGCGAAGGCGGCUCACUGGCCCCGAAAUGACGCUCAGUGCACGGACAGCG
rnacentral:rRNA from 1 species